UGCGGUAUGAUGUUACAACAUAUAUUUGCUACUUCAGAGGGUCACACCCGAUGAGACUAACCAAAAUCACCAAGAUCUCUGACCCU
rfam:Trametes pubescens strain FBCC735 TRAPTBscaffold_792, whole genome shotgun sequence.